rnacentral:rRNA from 1 species
GGAUUCCCCUAGUAACUGCGAGUGAAGCGGGAAAAGCUCAAAUUUAAAAUCUGGCGGUCUUUGGCCGUCCGAGUUGUAAUCUAGAGAAGCGUCACCCGCGCUGGACCGUGUACAAGUCUCCUGGGAUGGAGCGUCAUAGAGGGUGAGAAUCCCGUCUCUGACACGGACUACCAGGGCUUUGUGGUGCGCUCUCAAAGAGUCGAGUUGUUUGGGAAUGCAGCUCUAAACGGGUGGUAAAUUCCAUCUAAAGCUAAAUAUUGGCGAGAGACCGAUAGCGAACAAGUACCGUGAGGGAAAGAUGAAAAGAACUUUGGAAAGAGAGUUAAACAGUACGUGAAAUUGCUGAAAGGGAAACGCUUGAAGUCAGUCGCGUUGGCCGGGGAUCAGCCUCGCUCUUGCGUGGUGUACUUCCUGGUUGACGGGUCAGCAUCAAUUUUGGCCGCUGGAAAAAGGAUUAGGGAAUGUGGCAUCUUCGGAUGUGUUAUAGCCCUUUUUCAUAUACAGCGGUUGGGAUUGAGGAACUCAGCACGCCGCAAGGCCGGGUUUCGACCACGUUCGUGCUUAGGAUGCUGGCAUAAUGGCUUUAAUCGACCCGUCUUGAAACACGGACCAAGGAGUCUAACAUGCCUGCGAGUGUUUGGGUGGAAAACCCGAGCGCGUAAUGAAAGUGAAAGUUGAGAUCCCUGUCGCGGGGAGCAUCGACGCCCGGACCAGAACUUUUGGGACGGAUCUGCGGUAGAGCAUGUAUGUUGGGACCCGAAAGAUGGUGAACUAUGCCUGAAUAGGGUGAAGCCAGAGGAAACUCUGGUGGAGGCUCGUAGCGAUUCUGACGUGCAAAUCGAUCGUCAAAUUUGGGGUAUAGGGGGCGAAAGACU